rnacentral:rRNA from 1 species
AGAGUUUGAUCAUGGCUCAGGAUGAACGCUAGCGGCAGGCCUAAUACAUGCAAGUCGAACGGGUGCCCCUCGGGGCACCAGUGGCGCACGGGUGCGUAACGCGUAUGCAACCUACCUACCACUGGGGGAUAGCCUCCCGAAAGGGAGAUUAAUACCGCAUAACACAGCUUGAGGGCAUCUGAGGGCUGUUAAAGAUUUAUCGGUGGUAGAUGGGCAUGCGUGCCAUUAGCUAGUUGGCGGGGUAACGGCCCACCAAGGCUACGAUGGCUAGGGGUUCUGAGAGGACGGUCCCCCACACUGGCACUGAGAUACGGGCCAGACUCCUACGGGAGGCAGCAGUAGGGAAUAUUGGGCAAUGGGCGGAAGCCUGACCCAGCCAUGCCGCGUGCAGGAUGAAGGCCUUCUGGGUUGUAAACUGCUUUUACAGGGGAAGAAAACACCCAUGCGUGGGGAACUGACGGUACCCUGGGAAUAAGCACCGGCUAACUCCGUGCCAGCAGCCGCGGUAAUACGGAGGGUGCAAGCGUUGUCCGGAUUUAUUGGGUUUAAAGGGUGCGUAGGCGGCCCCUUAAGUCAGCGGUGAAAGCCCGGGGCUCAACCCCGGAACCGCCGUUGAUACUGGGGGGCUUGAGUACAGACGAGGUUGGCGGAAUUGAGGGUGUAGCGGUGAAAUGCUUAGAUACCCUCAAGAACACCGAUUGCGUAGGCAGCUAACUAGGCUGUAACUGACGCUGAGGCACGAAAGCGUGGGGAGCGAACAGGAUUAGAUACCCUAGUAGUCC